rnacentral:lncRNA from 1 species
CCAAAAUGGGAUAGUAUUGUACAUGUAACGUUUCCAAAAUGGGAUAGUAUUGUCCAUGUCACGUUAUGCCCCCUUGUGAGUUAAUAGUAUUGCAUGCUGUAGCAGCCUAUAUAAACAGGAAGACCUCCAUUGACGAUUCAGUUUGUUGUAACAUCUGGUCUGGACAGGUCACCGUCCUUAGUUACUAACGUUAGUAGAAGCUGCUGCAGCUCCAAUACAGUAUGAGGGACAGUCAAUAAAUGGAACAGCAAGGCCACAGAACAUGACAUAAGCAGAGCUGUGGGAGACCACCUCAAGCCCCUCGUAGAGCCGGGGGUGGUGUUUACCACUCCACCACGCCUUCAGCAGGCUGGAAACGUGGGAU